CCUAUCAUUUAUUUUCAGUAUUUUGUUAUUAAAUUCUAACAGCAAAUCUAAGCACGAGCACCAAAAGUGAUGCGGUCUAAGUUAGACUAAACCGAAAUAACGAAUUAUCGCUUUCUUCAUAAGGAAUCCCCAAUUUAAAACCCUAGACACCAAAUUCUCUCAAAUUCUCCGCGACACUCCAAAACACUAUGAUUUUGCAUUACUAUAUGUUACUUGAGACAGUGGAAUGUUUUCUUGGUAAAUUUAAUAGUCUUCCUUUGUCCUCAUUCCUAAUACCGAACCCAUAAAGUAGUUUUAGACCUCCUUCCGUAAUCCUCAGCCUUGACACUAAACACAGAAAGCUCCAUUACGUGCUCUGCUCCUCGAUCAGAUCGAUGGUGAUCAAUAAUAUGAGGAGUCAGACAGCAUAGCUCGCUGCAUCGACCACUGGAGGUUUCGCACUCACUGUUGCUCUUACCCCUUCUUCGCUCGUAGAGUUCCGAUCACCGUUGCUCUUAUCCCUUCGUUUGCGAGGUGUUUGGCUCAAAGGAAAAUUAACAAGAGUAGUAAGAAUAGAGGACACCAGAUGAAGAAACCGACCAACACCAAACUUCUCAUUCAAAUGGAGUCUUAGACCGAAAUGGGAGGGAGUAGAGCAAUGGGUUUGGGAGCUGAAGAAAAAUAAAAUGAAGUGUGACGUAUAGGAAAAAUGUUGGUUGGUUUGAAAAUAAAUUAUGACCGUUGAUGGGGAGCAAAGCUUGAACUGUCAUGUGACAACACUAUAAUUGUGGGUCCCAUUCUAUGAGAGAAAUUACCAUUAUGCCACCAUAA